rnacentral:rRNA from 1 species
GAUGAACGCUCGCGGGAGGCUUAACACAUGCAAGCCGAGGGGUAUAGUUCUUUCGGGAACUAGAGACCGGCGCACGGGUGCGUAACGCGUAUGCAACUUGCCCUACUGAAAAGGAUAGCCCUUCGAAAGGAGGAUUAAUACUUUAUAACAGAUUUAAUGGCAUCAUUAGAUUUUGAAAGAUUUAUCGCAGUAGGAUAGGCAUGCGUAAGAUUAGUUAGUUGGUGAGGUAACGGCUCACCAAGACGAUGAUCUUUAGGGGGCCUGAGAGGGUGAACCCCCACACUGGUACUGAGACCCGGACCAGACUCCUACGGGACGCAGCAGUGAGGGAUAUUGGACAAUGGGUGGAAGCCUGAUCCAGCCGACCCGCGUGUAGGAUGACGGCCUUAUGGGUUGUAAACUACUUUUAUCGGGGGAUAAGCCUACUUACGUGUAAGUAGCUGAAGGUACCAGAAGAAUAAGCACCGGCUAACUCCGUG